CAGCCGCCGCGGUAAUACCGGCGGCCCGAGUGGCGGUCACUAUUAUUGGGCUUAAAACGUCCGUAGCCGGGUUGGGAAGUCCUCCGGGAAAUCUGGCCGCUUAACGGUCAGAAUGCCGGAGGAUACUCCCAGCCUAGGGAGCGGGAGAGGCCGAGGGUAUUCCCGGAGUAGGGGUGAAAUCCUAUAAUCCCGGGAGGACCAACUGUGGCGAAGGCGCUCGGCUGGAACGCGUCCGACGGUGAGGGACGAAGGCCAGGGGAGCAAACCGGAUUAGAUACCCGGGUAGUCCUGGCUGUAAACGAUGCGGACUUUGUGUCGGAUAAGCUAUGAGCUUGUCCGGUGCCGGAGGGAAACCGUUAAGUCCGCCGCCUGGGGAGUACGGCCGCAAGGCUGAAACUUAAAGGAAUUGGCGGG
rnacentral:rRNA from 1 species